AAGGACUUAAGUUAAAUAAACUAAUAACCUUCAAAGCUGUAAUUGAAAGUAAUCUUUUAGGUCUUA
rnacentral:tRNA from 1 species